rnacentral:rRNA from 1 species
UCGGAUGGAAGAGAGUUCAGCUUAGUGGCGAACGGGUGAGUAACACGUGAGCAACCUGCCUUUCAGUGGGGGACAACAUUUGGAAACGAAUGCUAAUACCGCAUAAGACCACAGUGUCGCAUGGCACAGGGGUCAAAGGAUUUAUCCGCUGAAAGAUGGGCUCGCGUCCGAUUAGCUAGAUGGUGAGGUAACGGCCCACCAUGGCAACGAUCGGUAGCCGGACUGAGAGGUUGAACGGCCACAUUGGGACUGAGACACGGCCCAGACUCCUACGGGAGGCAGCAGUGGGGAAUAUUGCACAAUGGGGGAAACCCUGAUGCAGCGACGCCGCGUGGAGGAAGAAGGUCUUCGGAUUGUAAACUCCUGUCCCAGGGGACGAUAAUGACGGUACCCUGGGAGGAAGCACCGGCUAACUACGUGCCAGCAGCCGCGGUAAAACGUAGGGUGCAAGCGUUGUCCGGAAUUACUGGGUGUAAAGGGAGCGCAGGCGGAUUGGCAAGUUGGGAGUGAAAUCUAUGGGCUCAACCCAUAAAUUGCUUUCAAAACUGUCAGUCUUGAGUGGUGUAGAGGUAGGCGGAAUUCCCGGUGUAGCGGUGGAAUGCGUAGAUAUCGGGAGGAACAC